rnacentral:rRNA from 1 species
UACGUAGGGGGCAAGCGUUGUCCGGAUUUAUUGGGCGUAAAGAGCGUGUAGGCGGUUAGGUAGGUCCGUUGUGAAAACUCGAGGCUCAACCUCGAGAUGUCGGCGGAAACCACUUGGCUAGAGUCCGGAAGAGGAGAGUGGAAUUCCUGGUGGUAGCGGUGAAAUGCGCAGAGUAUCAGGAGGAACACCAGCGGCGAAGGCGGCGCUCUGGGCCGGUGACUGACACUGAGGAGCGAAGCGUGGGGAGCAAACAGGAAUAGAU